rnacentral:rRNA from 1 species
UACGAAGGGGGCUAGCGUUGCUCGGAAUCACUGGGCGUAAAGCGCACGUAGGCGGAUUGCUAAGUCAGGGGUGAAAUCCUGGAGCUCAACUCCAGAACUGCCCUUGAUACUGGCGGUCUCGAGUCCGGGAGAGGUGAGUGGAACUGCGAGUGUAGAGGUGAAAUUCGUAGAUAUUCGCAAGAACACCAGUGGCGAAGGCGGCUCACUGGCCCGGUACUGACGCUGAGGUACGAAAGCGUGGGGAGCAAACAGG